rnacentral:lncRNA from 1 species
AAACCAAGGUUAGGCAGCUGAUCAGUUCCGCACUAACCCCGAGCAGGCCCCGCCAUGCUCUAUCACUGGAUCCAAGGCACUCAUUGGCCUAACAUGACCACUCAUCUGGUCCACAGGUUUAUAUAAAAACAAUAAUCCAAUUCUCUAAUUCAAUUCAACAAACCAACGUAUAUUAAUAGAACAAAAUCACAAUCAUUAUCAAUAACAGAAAUAUUUCAAAUCAAACGUUGAUAAUAAUCUUUUCAUAAAUCACCGUCCAUUCUUUCAUAAAACAUAGUUCAGGAAAUCCCAAACUAUUCAGUAUCCUCAAUUAUCGGCUAAGUUUACUGAAUUUAGCCUGCUAAACCAGCAUGACAAUGGCAGGUUGAAUAAUCAAGA